UACGGAGGGUGCGAGCGUUUGUCCGGAAUCAUUGGGCGUAAAGGGCGCGUAGGUGGCGGGACAAGCGUGCGGUGAAAGCCUGGGGCUCAACCCCGGGUCGGCCGUGCGAACUGUUUUGCUUGAGCACUGUAGAGGCAGGCGGAAUUCCGGGGUGUAGCGGUGGAAUGCGUAGAGAUCCGGAAGAACACCGGUGGCGAAGGCGGCCUGCUGGGCAGUAGCUGACACUGAGGCGCGACAGCGUGGGGAGCAAACAGG
rnacentral:rRNA from 1 species